UACGGGGGGGGCAAGCGUUGUUCGGAAUUACUGGGCGUAAAGGGCGUGUAGGCGGCCAACUAAGUCCGACGUGAAAUCCCUAGGCUUAACCUAGGAACUGCGUCGGAUACUGGAUGGCUUGAAUCCGGGAGAGGGAUGCGGAAUUCCAGGUGUAGCGGUGAAAUGCGUAGAUAUCUGGAGGAACACCGGUGGCGAAGGCGGCAUCCUGGACCGGUAUUGACGCUGAAGCGCGAAAGCCAGGGGAGCAAACGGG
rnacentral:rRNA from 2 species